rnacentral:rRNA from 1 species
GGAAUAUUGGUCAAUGGGCGCGAGCCUGAACCAGCCAAGUAGCGUGCAGGACGACGGCCCUAUGGGUUGUAAACUGCUUUUAUGCGGGGAUCAAGUUCACUACGUGUAGUGUUUUGUAGGUACCGCAUGAAUAAGGACCGGCUACUUCCGUGCCAGCAGCCGCGGUAAUACGGAAGGUCCGGGCGUUAUCCGGAUUUAUUGGGUUUAAAGGGAGCGCAGGCUGAAGAUUAAGCGUGACGUGAAAUGUCCCGGCUCAACCGUGGAACUGCGUCGCGAACUGGUUUUCUUGAGUGAGUACGACGUCAGCGGAAUUUGUGGUGUAGCGGUGAAAUGCUUAGAUAUCACGAAGAACCCCGAUUGCGAAGGCAGCUGACGAGUCCUUAACUGAGGCUAAAGCUCGAAAGUGCGGGUAUCGAACA